rnacentral:lncRNA from 1 species
AUAAAGGGUUUCACAUAUUUGCGCUUUCUUAAUUUCAUGUUUAUCUUCUGCUUCAAGGGCACCCCCUGAUCGGGCAGGUACAAGUGGCUUGUCUCCAUCUACCUCUUCGUGGGCACCUCCUGAUCGGGCAGGUCCAAGUGGCUUGUCUCCAUCUACCUCUACCUCUUCGUGGGCACCUCCUGAUCGGGCAGCUUGGAAAAAUGUCCUUUGUCCGAAAGGAGCAACAGCCCUCUACAGGAGACAACUGUUAAGGGAGAAGGAAACGGAGCCUCCAAUUCGAGCCAGCAUAGAAAUAAGAGGGGACCAAAUAUCCCAAAGUAGAGAGAUUCUCAUGUUUUACAAAACCCCUGAUGUUGACUGGGCAUGUCCCCUACAUUGUACUCUACAAGGUGACCCAGCUGUUGGAGUCGGAGUGAAUCGCCAUUAUCUUAGUUUGGCUAUGUCAAAACUCCAAAAUGGCUUCAAUGUGAACACUGGUAUGUCAUUUGUUUACAUAUCCUUCAUGGUUGUUGAGGAUGACAUUUUGUGUGAAAGAUUACGCCUUGAGUAUGUGAAAUGAG